UCCCUGGUGGUCCAGUGGUUAGGACUCAGUGCUCUAACUGCAGGGGCCUGGGUUUGAUUCCUGGUUGGGGAA
rnacentral:tRNA from 1 species